GCUCCUUGGCUGUGUUGUCCAGGCUUUGCCCUACUCGGAAUUAACUGUGUUUUGGAAAAGUAGGAGCCAGCUAAAACGCCUGUGUAUUUGUCCAUUAUUUUUCCACUUUCCAUGGUUGGGGUUUUGGAAGGUUUGCUUUUUUGAUUGUUUGUUUGUUGUUUUUAACUCACAUAAUGGACUUCAGAACUGAGGGCAAGGAGGAGCUCAGGCUUGAACCAGCCUCUGGGCUCUGGUGGAGAUGCUGUUUGCUGUGCGCAGAGCAGGGACUGCGCUGGCCUGGGGUAUGGUGCAGCACAGGCACGGAAGGGGUGUCCCCUCGGAGCCUCCUGCAGGAUUAGCACCCACAGCCCAAAUGUGAAGGCGCCUUGUGCUGUGUGUAGUCACACACUUGCUCAGACACCUUGAAAAUGAGUUUGCGUUAGCAGAACUUAACAAGGGGAAAGUAAGAAUUUGCCAGGCUGCUUCAUGACGCACAGAGGGCUCCUUUUCCUCCUUCCCCCCCUCUCUCUGGUAUGAGGUUUCUGCUCUGCUGCGGAGCAUGAGAGCUGAAACCCAGGAGCCCCCAGCUGAUGGAAUAAACACCCAGCAAAUGCCUACCCCAGUGAGUCUGGUGACAGAGCAGUGGAAGCUAGCAACAGGUUUCACAGAGUCUUAAGUAGCAAGUCAGCUGACAAAGUAGCUUGUUCCCAAGAAAGGUUAUGGUGACAGGCCCUAAAAAUGAAUAUCUGCAAUAAGAGUGCUUGUAAUCUGAUAACUCUGUCUUUGCCCUUGUUUAGAAAAGGACAAGUGGUGGUGUACUCUCAAUAUGGCAAUAUGAAAUUCCUAGUUCACAGAUAGAUUAUAUUUAUCCUGAAGGAAAUUGAGUGAGGUUGUUUUGUUUUGUUUUGUAUCCCCGGGAAAAAAAACAAGAGGCAGCUUAAAUUCAGUAUAAUCAUUCUUCUUGGCUUUGCUGUUGUAACAUGAAAAGCAGUUGACAGUUGUCAUGAAAGUCGUGGCAAAGGCAACUGCCACAGUUCAGGCACUCGGUGUGACUUUGGCAGUGACUUUAGGAGUCUCCCCUAGUGAUGAAGUGACUUGUGAAUGGCAGGUUAUCUGUGUGAGAGGUCUGAGUAGAAGAGGGACUGUGCUAAGAGGUAGAAUAAGAAGCUGUUAUGUGUAAACUCCAACCCUUAGUAUUGUGGGCAGGGUAGGGGAAAAAAACCCAACAAAGUAAUGGCUGUGAGGCCAGGAGGGGAAAAGGCCAUGAUGGGGACAAUGGGGAAAAGAUGCAAACACUCAAAACCAUUUUACAUUUAUUAACUUGCUGUAGAAAUCAUUCAGUGCACCAAAAGAGAACAAUUUCAUGAAGAAGGAGUUGUAAAAUUUGUGUAUAAUCUCAGAUGCCCAGUUAGCUGCAGCAGAAAUCAUUAAACUGUGAGCUCAAAAAAGAGCACAAAAUAUCCCAGAGCAGCAGCAGCAUGCAACUGGACUACACAGAGCUUAUGAUAAGCUGCUGUGACUCGAUGGGUAACGCAGGUGAGACUGGUUUACUUGGACAACCCUUUCUAGCCCCACUGUUGUUGAAACACAGAAGCCACCCUCAUGAAAAACUGCACGAAUUUAAACAAGAUGCACGCCAGUAACGCUGGUGGUGUUACAACCAGUCCAUACCUUGUUACUGGAUGUGAUGUUGAAAAUGAAAACAAUGCUGAAGGAAGGUUGUAGCUGAAGGGUUACACCUACAGGCCAUUCAGCUGAAACGGGGUGUUUCAAGUUCUUAAGGGGGCAGGGAAGAUGAGUUGUGGGAGCUGGAAGAAGUUCCAACAGUAAAAGCAAUGAAGUUGAACAGAGCAACAGAGGUGGUGUGAGGUGUUAAAUAAAACCCAAAACCAACACCUAACUAACAAAACCCCCCAACCUGACAUUCAGUAAGAAAGUCUAAGCUAACAACACAGAUUAACUCGAGGCAAAUACCAGUGGAAAAACAUUUAAUACUUAUGUAUACAUAUUGCAGGAAAGCAAUUAAAAACAUCUUUUUCAUAUGCAAUGUAAUGUAAAGUGUAAACUAUGGAAAUGCACUAUAUUUACCCUCUCAAAAAACCCUAACUUGGUAUUCUUGAACUAUUUGGACUAGGAGCUAAAUGCUGGUACUUGUAAAUAGAAGUGGUAAAUCUUACAGUAGUGCAAACCGACGCUAACAUACACUGUACUCAUAAUAUAAAUAAACUAUACUAAUUGUAGGGUGAAACCAUGCUAAGAGUACCCUCUUACAGAAUUGUAAAAUACAUUACUACUACUAAUGUAACUCGAAGACUUUUCAAUAAGGGCUGCUUACAAUCUAUGUCUUGCCUAUGGCUUUGAAAAAUAAAAUCUCUUUAACUAUCCUA